rnacentral:rRNA from 1 species
GAUGAACGCUGGCGGCGUGCCUAAUACAUGCAAGUCGAGCGAACAGACGAGGAGCUUGCUCCUCUGACGUUAGCGGCGGACGGGUGAGUAACACGUGGAUAACCUACCUAUAAGACUGGGAUAACUUCGGGAAACCGGAGCUAAUACCGGAUAAUAUAUUGAACCGCAUGGUUCAAUAGUGAAAGACGGUUUUGCUGUCACUUAUAGAUGGAUCCGCGCCGCAUUAGCUAGUUGGUAAGGUAACGGCUUACCAAGGCGACGAUGCGUAGCCGACCUGAGAUGGUGAUCGGCCACACUGGAACUGAGACACGGUCCAGACUCCUACGGGAGGCAGCAGUAGGGAAUCUUCCGCAAAGGGCGAAAGCCUGACGGAGCAACGCCGCGUGAGUGAUGAAGGUCUUCGGAUCGUAAAACUCUGUUAUUAGGGAAGAACAAAUGUGUAAGUAACUAUGCACGUCUUGACGGUACCUAAUCAGAAAGCCACGGCUAACUACGUG